rnacentral:ncRNA from 1 species
CUCUUAUCGAGAGCGGCGGAGGGACAGGCCCGAUGAAGCCCGGCAACCGGCAAUUUAUUGCCACGGUGCCAAUCCCGACCCCUUUUUUGGGGACGGAUGAGAG